rnacentral:rRNA from 1 species
GCUGGACCUCUCGGGGUUACAGCCUUGCUGAAUUAUUCACCCUUGUCUUUUGCGUACUUCUUGUUUCCUUGGUGGGUUCGCCCACCACUAGGACAAACAUAAACCUUUUGUAAUUGCAAUCAGCGUCAGUAACAAAUUAAUAAUUACAACUUUCAACAACGGAUCUCUUGGUUCUGGCAUCGAUGAAGAACGCAGCGAAAUGCGAUAAGUAGUGUGAAUUGCAGAAUUCAGUGAAUCAUCGAAUCUUUGAACGCACAUUGCGCCCUUUGGUAUUCCAAAGGGCAUGCCUGUUCGAGCGUCAUUUGUACCCUCAAGCUUUGCUUGGUGUUGGGCGUCUUGUCUCUAGCUUUGCUGGAGACUCGCCUUAAAGUAAUUGGCAGCCGGCCUACUGGUUUCGGAGCGCAGCACAAGUCGCACUCUCUAUCAGCAAAGGUCUAGCAUCCAUUAAGCCUUUUUUCAACUUUUGACCUCGGAUCAGGUAGGGAUACCCGCUGAACUUAAGCAUAUCAUAA